GUCUACGGCCAUACCACCCUGAACGCGCCUGAUCUCGGAAGCUAAGCAGGGUCGGGCCUGGUUAGUACUUGGAUGGGAGACUACUCAUCAAUGUGUGAUGAUCCUAAGCA
rnacentral:rRNA from 1 species